rnacentral:sRNA from 1 species
GGCGUUCUGGGCUUCCCGACAGGAGUAACUUAUUCUCGGGGCCUUAUUGAUUCCUAGGGAGCUGUCCCUGGCCAGACCCGUGGGUUUGGACACACGGCGCCCACCUACUUUGUAGGUCCCGGGAUCGAUCUCUCCACCGGUCGUCCUGGAUCGCCA